GUAGUACUCCCUCCGUCCCAAAAUUCUUCUCUUACAUUUGUCUAGAUACAGAUGCAUCUAAUACUAAAACGUGACUUGAUACAUCCGUAUUUAGACAAAUUUAAGAUAAGAAUUUUGGGAUGGAGGGAGUAGUAC
rnacentral:pre_miRNA from 1 species